UACGUAGGGCGCAAGCGUUGUUCGGAAUUACUGGGCGUAAAGGGCGCGUAGGCGGCCUGUUAAGUCGAACGUGAAAUCCCCGGGCUCAACCCGGGAACUGCGUCCGAUACUGGCAGGCUUGAAUCCGGGAGAGGGAUGUGGAAUUCCAGGUGUAGCGGUGAAAUGCGUAGAUAUCUGGAGGAACAUCGGUGGCGAAGGCGGCAUCCUGGACCGGUAUUGACGCUGAGGCGCGAAAGCCAGGGGAGCAAAGCGGG
rnacentral:rRNA from 1 species